UACGGGGGGAGCAAGCGUUGUUCGGAUUUACUGGGCGUAAAGGGCGCGUAGGCGGCCACCGCAAGUCAGUUGUGAAAUCUCUGGGCUUAACCCAGAAAGGUCAACUGAUACUGCGGGGCUAGAGUGCAGAAGGGGCAACUGGAAUUGCGAGUGUAGAGGUGAAAUUCGUAGAUAUUCGCAGGAACACCAGUGGCGAAGGCGACUUGCUGGAUCUUUGCUGACGCUGAGACGCGAAAGCGUGGGGAGCAAACAGG
rnacentral:rRNA from 1 species